AUCCAAAGUAAACUGUGGACUUUCAGAAGGAAGAUGAAAUCUUGGUCAUCUGUGUCUCCCUGAAGCUUAGCAUGGGAUAUGGCACAUGGGUGAAUUGAGGAGGUUGGCAAUGUUGAUUUCCCUUCCAUUCCACCUUGUUGGUGCAAUACUCAGCAGCUUCAUGCCUCACAGUCGUUCCUCCUCCGUGCGUGCUCUAUAUGCUUCUCACAACCUCUAUCCCCCUGGGAAAACAGUCAGCAUUCUGUGAGAAGCACGGAACAUGGACAGACCAAUAUGGGUAGAACAUUGUCAUCUAUCUUAUCUAUGGAGGCAUUCGGGUCAUCAAACAGAGGUUGGUGCCCAACUGACAGCUAACAUCCUUUCCCCACACAAAUGCCAUCCUAACCCAGGUGCCAGACAAGUGAGUGAAGAAGCCAUCUUGGAAAUGCAUGCUCCAGGCUCAACCAAUGCAGCUAUUACCACAUGGA